GAGAAGCCAUUGAUGACCACCAUUUUUCUUUCUCUUUUCCAAUCCAUCAUGAAUAGAGGUUUUUUUUUUCUUUCCUGACCAUGAGCGGACUUCACACACAUUUAAACACAGCAAACAUGGAGUAGACGACUCCAUUUUUCUUUUCUUUUCUUUUUCUCUGUGACUGCAUACACUAACAGAGAGGUCGACAGAGAAAUCACGAGGGAGAAGGAACUAAGGGAGUUGAGAAAGAUCUGAUCGGUCCUAAUUCACUGAUUCGACUGACCCAGCUUCGGAACCCCCUAAAUCAUUCUUUCUUCUUGAUUUAUGGGGGAAUUCAUCCAGGAAAUAUCGAGGUUCACCGAAAAAACCUCUCCCGUCGUUGUCUCAUUACUGUUUUUGGUGAAAUACGCCAGAAAAAUGACGCCACCAAAUCCCUUCUUCCCAAACUUGACUCGAAGUUGGUUUAAUUGAGUUAGUCCAUUUGAAUCUACGUCUCGUCGUUUCUAUUUGCUUGGUAUUAUCUGUGGUUUCCUGGGUUUUGGAUUGAAAUUCAGGGGACUUUUGUAUCGGAGCCGGGAGUUCAUCGUUGUCGAGGUCUCUAUUCG
rnacentral:lncRNA from 1 species